rnacentral:rRNA from 1 species
AGAGUUUGAUCCUGGCUCAGGACGAACGCUGGCGGCGCGCCUAACACAUGCAAGUCGAACGGAGCUGAGAGGAGCUUGCUUUUCUUAGCUUAGUGGCGAACGGGUGAGUAACGCGUGAGUAACCUGCCCUGGAGUGGGGGACAACAGUUGGAAACGACUGCUAAUACCGCAUAAGCCCACGGUACCGCAUGGUACUGAGGGAAAAGGAUUUAUUCGCUCUAGGAUGGACUCGCGUCCAAUUAGCUAGUUGGUGAGGUAACGGCCCACCAAGGCGACGAUUGGUAGCCGGACUGAGAGGUUGAACGGCCACAUUGGGACUGAGACACGGCCCAGACUCCUACGGGAGGCAGCAGUGGGGGAUAUUGCACAAUGGGGGAAACCCUGAUGCAGCGACGCCGCGUGGAGGAAGAAGGUUUUCGGAUUGUAAACUCCUGUCGUUAGGGACGAUAAUGACGGUACCUAACAAGAAAGCACCGGCUAACUACGUGCCAGCAGCCGCGGUAAAACGUAGGGUGCAAGCGUUGUCCGGAAUUACUGGGUGUAAAGGGAGCGCAGGCGGACCGGCAAGUUGGAAGUGAAAACUAUGGGCUCAACCCAUAAAUUGCUUUCAAAACUGCUGGCCUUGAGUAGUGCAGAGGUAGGUGGAAUUCCCGGUGUAGCGGUGGAAUGCGUAGAUAUCGGGAGGAACACCAGUGGCGAAGGCGGCCUACUGGGCACCAACUGACGCUGAGGCUCGAAAGUGUGGGUAGCAAACAGGAUUAGAUACCCUGGUAGUCCACACCGUAAACGAUGAUUACUAGGUGUUGGAGGAUUGACCCCUUCAGUGCCGCAGUUAACACAAUAAGUAAUCCACCUGGGGAGUACGACCGCAAGGUUGAAACUCAAAGGAAUUGACGGGGGCCCGCAC